AUUGAACGCUGGCGGCAGGCCUAACACAUGCAAGUCGGACGAGCGGCGGACUGGUGAGUAGUGUAUGGGGACCUGCCUGAUGGAGGGGUAUAACUACUAGAAACGUUAGAAAAUGACGCAUACCACACGUUGUACCCAUAUGGGAUUAGCUUGUAGGUGAGGAAAAGGCUUAUCUAGGCGACGCUCCCUAGCUGGUCUGAGAGGAUGAUCAGCCACACUGGGACUGAGACACGGCCCAGACUCCUACGGGAGGCAGCAGUGGGGAAUAUUGCACAAUGGGCGCAAGCCUGAUGCAGCCAUGCCGCGUGUAUGAAGAAGGCCUUCGGGUUGUAAAGUACUUUCAGUCGGGAGGCGUUACCGACAGAAGAAGCACCGGCUAACUCCGUGCCAGCAGCCGCGGUAAUAC
rnacentral:rRNA from 1 species